AUUGAACGCUGGCGGAAUGCUUUACACAUGCAAGUCGAGCGGCAGCGCGGCCUUCGGGCUGGCGGCGAGCGGCGAACGGGUGAGUAAUGCAUCGGAACAUGCCCAGUCGUGGGGGAUAACACUUCGAAAGAAGUGCUAAUACCGCAUACGUCCUGAGGGGGAAAGCGGGGGAUCGCAAGACCUCGCGCGAUUGGAGUGGCCGAUGUCAGAUUAGCUAGUUGGUGGGGUAAAGGGCUACCAAGGCGACGAUCUGUAGCUGGUCUGAGAGGAUGAUCGGCCACACUGGGACUGAGCCACGGCCCAGACUCCUACGGGAGGCAGCAGUGGGGAAUUUUGGACAAUGGGGGCAACCCUGAUCCAGCCAUUCCGCGUGAGUGAAGAAGGCCUUCGGGUUGUAAAGCUCUUUCGGCAGGAACGAAACGGUGGGCUCUAACAUAGUCCGCUAAUGACGGUACCUGAAGAAGAAGCACCGGCUAACUACGUG
rnacentral:rRNA from 1 species